UACGAAGGGGGCAAGCGUUGUUCGGAAUUACUGGGCGUAAAGCGUGCGUAGGUGGUUCGUUAAGUCUGAUGUGAAAGCCCUGGGCUCAACCUGGGAAUGGCAUUGGAUACUGGCGACCUAGAGUGCGGUAGAGGGGUGUGGAAUUCCCGGUGUAGCAGUGAAAUGCGUAGAUAUCGGGAGGAACAUCUGUGGCGAAGGCGACACCCUGGACCAGCACUGACACUGAGGCACGAAAGCGUGGGGAGCAAACAGG
rnacentral:rRNA from 1 species